rnacentral:tRNA from 1 species
UCCUGCGUGGUAUAAAUGGUUAACAUGCUUGGCUGCUAACCAAAAGGUUAGUAGUUUGAUUCUACCCAGAGGUA